CCAUCGUCUCCUUUUUCACCCUGGGUCACGUCGUCUUCCCGCCACUCACCUCUCUCCUGUUCGUGAUGCAGAUUUGAGUGCCCAUUCCUCGUCAAGAUUGUGACAUGAUAAGUUAGGUGUCAACAACAGCCCACAGUACAGUAUGUGUCCUCUGGGCGUGUUAGCAGAGCUGUCAGAGGAACCACCUCCAAACCCGUCUCAUGGAAAAACCUUCUGUUCUCAGGUCGCUCUGCCAUUCUGGGUUCAGUGUGAAAGCUAUUUUUCACUUCUGUUUGCCUAUUGUGAAGUGUUUGUGAUGGACACAAGAACAGUUUGCGUGUUUAUUGUUUAAAAUGAUAUAGCAAGGGCUUCCUUUAAAGGGGAAAGAUAGUCAGUGUUCACCAUGCUAACAGGUUUAGCAAAUAACUGCUUCACUCAUUUAUCAAGGUUUAUCUUAACACAGAAUUUGAGCAGCAGGUUUUGUCCAAUAUUUUGUUUUCUGGUCAUCCGUCUGUGGGUAUGUAUUUCCACGUCGAGUCCAUUCUCACGAAAGCAAAAUCUCAGAGAUCACCAACCUCACAAAUCAGUUUUUUUAGAUAUGAGGAAAGACUUCACAUGCAAUUAUGACAAUUUCUAACCAAUGUCUAUUAGGAUUCAAUCAUGAAGUGAUGAGAUUUUUUACAUUUGUAUGUAAUCAACAACAUUCAUGGCUGGCAGAGGCAAACAACUGUAGUAAUUAUUUUUAUGCCACAGUUUUUCUUGUAACAGCAAAAAAAAAAAGAUUGAGUUGCCUGAUGGUUUUCUAUGUUUGACAAGGGAAUUCAACAUAUUAUAAUCCGAGUAGUGGGAC
ensembl:lncRNA